rnacentral:rRNA from 1 species
GACGGAGGAUGCAAGCGUUAUCCGGAAUGAUUGGGCGUAAAGCGUCCGCAGGUGGCAGUUCAAGUCUGCUGUCAAAGACCGGGGCUUAACUUCGGAAAGGCAGUGGAAACUGAACAGCUAGAGUAUGGUAGGGGCAGAGGGAAUUCCUGGUGUAGCGGUGAAAUGCGUAGAGAUCAGGAAGAACAUCGGUGGCGAAGGCGCUCUGCUGGACCAUAACUGACACUCAGGGACGAAAGCUAGGGGAGCGAAUUGG